rnacentral:rRNA from 1 species
UGGCGGACGGGUGAGUAAUGUCUGGGAAACUGCCCGAUGGAGGGGGAUAACUACUGGAAACGGUAGCUAAUACCGCAUAACGUCGCAAGACCAAAGAGGGGGACCUUCGGGCCUCUUGCCAUCGGAUGUGCCCAGAUGGGAUUAGCUAGUAGGUGGGGUAACGGCUCACCUAGGCGACGAUCCCUAGCUGGUUUGAGAGGAUGACCAGCCACACUGGAACUGAGACACGGUCCAG